rnacentral:rRNA from 1 species
GACGAACGCUGGCGGCGUGCUUAACACAUGCAAGUCGAGCAGAAAGGCCCUUUCGGGGGUACUCGAGCGGCGAACGGGUGAGUAACACGUGAGUAAUCUGCCCUUCACUUGGGGAUAACUACCGGAAACGGUGGCUAAUACCCGAUAUGACCAAUCACUGCAUGGUGUGUUGGUGGAAAGUUUUUUCGGUGGAGGAUGUGCUCGCGGCCUAUCAGCUUGUUGGUGGGGUAAUGGCCUACCAAGGCUUCGACGGGUAGCCGGCCUGAGAGGGUGACAGGCCACACUGGGACUGAGACACGGCCCAGACUCAUACGGGAGGCAGCAGUGGGGAAUAUUGGACAAUGGGCGAAAGCCUGAUCCAGCAACGCCGCGUGAGGGAUGACGGCCUUCGGGUUGUAAACCUCUUUCAGCGGGGACGAAGCGCCGGUAAUGGUGGUGACGGUACCCGCAGAAGAAGCACCGGCCAACUACGUGCCAGCAGCCGCCGUAA